rnacentral:lncRNA from 10 species
AGGCGUGAGCCACCACGCCCAGCCCCCUCUCUUGAUUUUUCUAUGAUUAACAUGGGUUACUUUCAGAAUUAGAAAAAAUAACUCACAUAAACAUUGUCCUCUUCCUGUGAGUAUGCACGUGGGCAUGCGUGCAUGUGUGUGUGCACACGCCUAUGCUUGUGGACCAGGAUAGACAGUUGUUUUAUGCUUAGAGAAAUUAUUCAUAUUAAGUGUAGGGAGGGGGUGGUUUUAUUUCACUGUGAUCAGAGGGAGACAACUCCUAUCUCUUAUCACAUAGGGCCAUUUGAUGUCUCAUUCAGCAUCACUGACACAGGAUGCCAGCAACACCUCGAUGGGGAAUAAGGUACCCCCCACCUCCAAAACUCGUGUCCACAGAGGCUGUGAGGAGCUGACAGGGAGAGGAGGUUGCUGCACCUGCUUCAGCCAUGUCACCACCAUCUACCGUGUGUGCUCUGUGCCAGAAUGGGCGGGGGGAAAAUACCUCUCGGAAACGUUCUGUGUCCCAUCAGUAACUGUAGCAUGUACAGUUCCUGACUUGGAACUAGGCUGUAGGCAGCAAUUUCUAAAAUUACCCUGAGAUGAACUGCAUGUGUCCCCCCACAAUUUGUAAGUUGAAAUCCUAAGCCCGCAAUGUGAUGGUAUUAGGAGGUGGGGCCUUUGGGAGGUGAUUAGGUCAUCGGGGUGGGGGCCUCAUGAGUGCACAAGUGUCCUUGUAAAAGAGACCCCUGAGAGCUCCUCUGGCCCUUCCACUACUUGAGGAUGCAGCGAGGAGGCAGAAAUCUGCAGCUGGGAAGAGGACCCCCACCAGAAUCUGACCAUGCCGGCACCCCGAUCUUGGACUUCCAGACUCCAGAACUGCAAGAAGGAAACUUCUGUCGUUUAUAAGCCAUGCAGUCUGUGGUGCUUUGUCGCAGAAGCCCUAAUGGACUAAGAUGUACCCGGUUUUCCCCAUGGGUCCAUGUUCUGAAAGAUUUUCUACACCGUAUAGUAACAACAACGAUGGCGACAAUGACAACAAUAACAAUAGCUGUCACCGAUGAGGCACCUUCCGGGUGAAUGUCACCUAUGCUGUCCCACCCAGUCCCCCCCACAGUCCUGAGAUGACGGUGACGCAGCAUCUCCGCCCCCAUUUUGCCUGAUGAGGAAACGCAAGGCGUAGAGAGGCUCAGUAGUUUUCCAAGCCCCUGCAGCCAAUAGGAACUAAAGGCAGGAGUUGAAUUCAGCUCUCUCUAAAUUGAGCCUGGUUUUUCCACUAUGUUACACUCUUCUUCAGAAACACAAAUUAAUGAGCGGGCUGUGGUGGCUCAUGCCUGUAAUCCCACUUUAGGAGUCUGAGGCAGGAGGAUUGCUUGAGGUCAGGAGUUCGAGACUAGCCUGGGCAACAUAUUGGAACCCCGUCUCUACCGAAAAACAAACAAACAAACAAAAAACCCUCAAAAAACACAAAAAGCACCAAUUAAGUUAUAAUAAUAACAAUAAUAUUCAAACUACAUUAUUCAAUCCUAAAUCCUUUUACUUUCCAUUGUGAAAGGAUUAGUUACAUAAACCGGCUGCUCUUAGUUACCGCACUCUGUUGCUAUGAUUCUGACAUAUUGGUUCAUUUCUGCAAUGCUAUUGUGGAUAUACUGAAAUACUGAAAAUAUACUUAAGGUUCUGCUCACUAGCUUUUUAUCCGUCAAGUUAUUCUUUCCCUAAAAUUCAGGUGAAAUUCAUAUGACACAUAGCUAACCAUUU